UUGUAGAAGAAGAAGAAAAAA
rnacentral:sRNA from 1 species